rnacentral:lncRNA from 7 species
CCGCCUCUCCACGCUACUGGAUACUUCCGAUGCCUGUUCCGCUGUUUCUCUUCUCCCGUGUCUUCUCCCGUUUACCUGCCGUGUGCGACUACUAGGAGGUCGCCGCCGCCGUACGCUCAGCUUCUCUGCGCCGGCGACAAGCACCCACCACACCAGGAUUGUGUUUAUUGGAUUUGAGUGUCUGAUUGUGUCAGUCAAAUUUGAGUUCAUCACAUCCAGCCCCCGCAACCCCGUCCGUGGGCUUCCCCAUGCGCUGUGUGGCACUACGGUAGCCGACCCUCAGCAGAUCUUGCGCGGCUGUCCUCACCAGUCGCCAACGGCCUCCUCGCCCAGUCGACCUUCUCAGACAGCACCCCUCGACAGCACCCAAGCAACCGACCGAAGUGAGCAGUGACUCAGUUAGGUAAGUUCAGAGAUAAUGUUUCAUUUUUUCUACGAAUUUUAUGAAUACAUGCUCCUCUUAUAUGAACUGCAACUAUCUCUACCCUAGAACAGACAUCAACAUGUACAUGACUAUUAAAUUUCCUGUUACAUUGUUCUACCUAUAUUGUAACAAAUGUCCUUUCACUGUUGUCAUUAUGUCAACUUAGUUAAUUAUAUGGGCACUAAUAUAUUUUUUAUUUAUAAAUACACCAACAAUUUACGAGGAGCUGCGCCCAUUCGUUUUCAAAAUUCUAAUUGUAAUGUCCACUUCUUCAGUAGGUAAGUUCAGAAAUAAUGUUUCAUUUUUUCUACGAAUUUUAUGAAUACAUGCUCCUCUUAUAUGAACUGCCACUAUCUCUACCCUAGAACAGACAUCAACAUGUACAUGACUAUUAAAUUUCCUAUUACAUUGUUCUACCUAUAUUGUAGCAUAUGUCCUUUCACUGUUGAUUUGUUCGCUUCACACAAAAAAUAGUGAACGUCGAUUCCAGCCCAAACUUUCGUUUGGUCCACCCAGUCUUGCUGUAGACACUGUAGUUAAAAUGCUCUACCAACUUUAUUCAGGUCUCUUAUUCCUAGACCUGCAAUCUCCUUUGCCAUGGUCGAUUUCAAUAAUUUAAAACAUGUUGAUAAUGAGUGCCAUAUAUAUUCUUAGCGACUCUUGAUCAAGUUCAUAUAUGAAUGAAUCACAGAUUCACAGUGUACGGAAGGGAGCCACUUAAUACUUAGUAAAACACCAUCAGGUAACCACUUUGUAGUUCAAGUGAGCUGAAUCGCCCAAAUUCAAGAUAGUGUAUCUCUACAUGCUAGUAUGAUUUCUUUAAAUAUGCAUUGUGUGAGUAUAUGCUAGAUCACAAUCUUUUACUUUCACAAUAGGUUCUUGCUGUCAGUGACCACAAUUUGGUUUAGUUACAAUGACUAUAGCAUGACCUUUACGAUCAUGCCCUCAAGCAUCCAGUUUUUUUUACCAUAUGGAUAUGUGUGGAUACAAUAGCAGUUAGUUUUAUUGUCUAUCCCAAUUAAGAAUGGCCACAAUGUAGCAUUUGAUUGACAUACACCUCUAAUAUAUCGUACAUAAGCAAGAAUAUGUGAAUACAGUAGCGGUUUGUUUCAUUACCUGAAUUUAUUUAUUAAGAAUGGCCAUAAAAAAGGGUGUUUCGUUACCUAUAUAUGAACACAUACUACACUAUAUACAAAUUCAAACCAAGUGUAACUCUGGCAUAUUGUUUCUAAAAACACUAACCGUUAGUUCAUGUGAUGUUCAUCCUCUUUGAGAUUUCAUCAGACUGUGUUUCUAACAAUGGACAAAAAAGGAAUAACUAAUGAGUUCAAACAAUACUAUUAUGUCCUUCACUAGGAAACUGGUCAGUACAUAGUUUGCCUCUUUAUAUAUAAUAUAAAUUUAACAAUGCAAUUUAUAGCUUCUUUCUCCGAUAUAUACAAGCUAAAAAAAUAAGUGUUCAACUGUGUAGGAACAGUGAGAUCAAUGAUUCAAUGCCUGCACCUAGAUAUGACAUGUGGUGAUUCUGUUGACUGUACUUUAAACUCAAGUUGUGAACAACUAAACUCAAACUAUGAGUAAUUCAUUGUAACAUAUAACUGUUGUCUUUUUUACAAUGUUCACUAUUGUCUUGUGCAUGUAUCGGGUUUGUUAUGCUCCUAGAACCUUCGUAGCGACAGCCGCCGAACCUCGUGGCGCAAAAACAAUUUUUUUUUUGAAAAACAGGUAUUAUGCUGGUAAAGGCUUAUGUGGCUGUAGACAUGUUCAACUAAUAUCUUUUUUCCGCAUAUUUGUCAAUGAUCCAAUUUGUUAUUUUCAAACUUUAUUUACCAUGAAGAUUACUAAUUGUAUAUUGUUAUAAUUCAAGUUUGGUUAUAUCCCUUCAUCAUAUAAAAAGUAUCCUACAAUCAAAAAUUACGCGCGCUGGGCGCGCGCCAACCACUAGUAUCAUUUAAGAGAAAGCAAGUUCGAUACUACAAGGACUCACAAGCCACACUUUUGAGGGCCAUUUCUUCUUUACUAGAUUGAAUACUUGCACUGGCCAGUUUAAUUUACCAUAAAAUUCCUCUAUAUAUUUCACUUGUAUGCAUGCUGUCGCGAUCAUUCUCCUUUGUCUAGUGCUGUGAUUUUACAAGGAAGCUAGACAGUAGUCGUAUUACCGUUUGCAUUCUCGGUUUGAGGCAACCGAAUUCCCUUUCCAACUUAAUUUCCAAAGCUGCAUCCAAACCUCCUUUGCAAAUAGGCACAAAAAUGCACCGUCGUUAAUCGCUAUUAAUCACACAAAACAUACGUUGGAAUUUGGAUUGUAUUGCUACUUUUUGUAUCUUCAAGCUUGUCUGCUGUGAUAUCCUUGCCUGAACCAAGAGCCAAGGGAUAAUGGUUUUUU